rnacentral:rRNA from 1 species
CAAGAGCGUAUGUAAAAGUUGUUGCAGUUAAAAAGCUCGUAGUUGAACCUUGGGUUUGGUUGGCCGGUCCGCUUUUUUGCGAGUACUGGAUUCAACCGAGCCUUUCCUUCUGGCUAACCAGUCGUUUCGGCGGCUGGCGAACCAGGAUUUUUACUUUGAGAAAAUUAGAGUGUUCAAAGCAGGCAUUAGCUUGAAUAUAUUAGCAUGGAAUAAUAGAAUAGGACGUUAUGGUUCUAUUUUGUUGGUUUCUAGGACCAUCGUAAUGAUUAAUAGGGACGGUCGGGGGCAUCAGUAUUCAGUUGUCAGAGGUGAAAUUCUUGGGUUUACUGAAGACUAACUACUGCGAAAGCAUUUGCCAAGGACGUUUUCAUUAA